GCCUCGGUGGCCUAGUGGUAAGGCGGCUGCCUCGUAAGCAGCAGAUCGCGGGUUCAAAUCCCGCCCGGGGCUCCA
rnacentral:tRNA from 1 species